UGCCAGCCGCCGCGGUAAUACGGAGGGUGCAAGCGUUAAUCGGAAUUACUGGGCGUAAAGCGCGCGUAGGCGGCUUGGUCAGUUGGAUGUGAAAGCCCUGGGCUUAACCUGGGAACUGCAUUCAAUACUGCCAGGCUAGAGUACGAGAGAGGGGGGUAGAAUUUCUAGUGUAGCGGUGAAAUGCGUAGAUAUUAGAAGGAAUACCAGUGGCGAAGGCGGCUAUCUGGACUAAUACUGACACUGAGGCACGAAAGCGUGGGGAGCGAAAGGGAUUAGAUA
rnacentral:rRNA from 1 species